CUAGUACUCCCUCCGUUCAGAAUUACUCGUCCAAGCAAUGCAUGUAUCUAGAUGUAUUUUAGUUGUAGAUACAUCCAUUUUUAUACAUUAUUGUGACAAGUAAUUCCGAAUGGAGGGAGUAGGAA
rfam:Triticum aestivum genome assembly, contig: Triticum_aestivum_CS42_TGACv1_scaffold_640815_T_7DS-0.203692_1BL-0.136177